CAUGAAUAGCAGCAGAAGAAAAAACACAUCGCCAGAGGAUCGUUCAAGUACAGUAGGCUGCGUGGAGUCUGCAUCGGCAGGGGCCUGCACCUCAUGGAUCUUCUGAGCAGAGCUACACCUGCUUCUCCAUCGCCGUGCCACUCAGUGAUGGAGGUUAUACAAGGAUCAGGAUGUCAGGGGGUGAUGAUGCAGUGUCAGGAUGGUCCCCAGCUGAGCCAUCGGUGUGGAGAGGACUAAACCCUGUAAAGUGAUUGUAAAACCUCCAUGACUUCUCUCUUUCAACUCAAUCCAUGUGCUCAAGUUGUUCAGCCUUCAGCUGUGAUCUUCAGCUGCGGCCAUGUUUGCACUGUGGGAUGAGGUAGUAGGUUGAAUAGUUUUAGGGUCAUACCCGCACUGGGAGAUAACUAUUCAAGCUACUGUCUUUCUCAAAGUGACAAAUGCAUCUUCCCUAUGUUGGUUUUGUAAAGCUCCGUAUGUUGGAAGUAGUUGCUCACGCGGCGUGAGGUAGUAGUUUGUAUAGUUGACGGGUUGUGAUUUUGCCCUCUUCUGGAGAUAACUAUACAAUCUAUUGCCUUCCUUGAGGAGUGCCAUUACCUUCAUUAUUGCGAGUAGGGAGUAUUUGAUUCUGCUUCUAUGGUUUGUCAUUGCACCUUUAGUGUUUGUCAUCAUUUUGUGUUGGUGUAACAAAAAACACAAAACUCAAAACACUCGUUCUUGGGUCUGUUUAGUUUUAUUUUGCACUACUUGGUUUGGUCAGUAGGGGGUGCAAAGUGUACACUGAUUAUUUAGGAGAAGCUAAAGGGGACUGUCAGGUCUUUCCAGCAACGCUACGGAAAGGAAGCAACAGUCUUUGGACCGUUGCUGGUGGUCAGACAUCAUGGAUUUCACCACAUUUGAUGCACUGGACUUUUAAGUGAUGUGCGUUUAAUGGAUUGUCAAGAAAGCUGCAAGUAUGAUUUUAAGUCAACUUCCUUUAUUAAACUUGUUGCAUUAUAAA